CAUCGAUGAAGAACGCAGCGAAAUGCGAUACUUGGUGUGAAUUGCAGAAUCCCGUGAACCAUCGAGUCUUUGAACGCAAGUUGCGCCCGAGGCCUUUGGGUCGAGGGCACGCCUGCCUGGGCGUCACGC
rnacentral:rRNA from 1 species